UUCCGUCAAAUUACCCCCACCCCCACGCGGUUGUGCUCUUCUCUGGCGUCGCCCUCGGCCCGAUCUCCGGUCGCUGUCCACCACCGCGUCUGCGGCGGCGGCGCGGCGUGGCGCCACCUGCUGCUCCUCCUCACCGCCCAACCGCUCGCGCUCGCCCUCCUCGCGUUCGCGCCCCAGUGGCGCGGCGGCGGCGUGGACGACGCCGGCUCCCGCUGGCCCGCUCGCCUGGCCGUGCCGGCCCCGUCGAGGCUGCACUCCCUCCACUCCUCCGCCGCCUCCUGUGUCGAGGUGCUCGCCGCCCCCGCCUUCCCCUACCUCCGCGGCUGGUCCUUCCACUUCGACGCGCCGGACACCCACCACCCCAAGGUGUGCGUGCAAACGAGCACCUCCGCAGGCCUGGACCAGAUCCUGCUGUGGCUCUUCUACCGCAAGGUCGUCGGCGUCGCACACUUUUUGCUCUUUGUCGAGGGCAAGGCCGCCAAGCCCAGUGUCGCCGGGGUCCUCGAGUCCAUCCCCGGGGUGAAGGUGGGGUACAGGACCAAGGAGCUUGAGGAGCAGCAGGCCAAGUGCCGAAUCUGGAAUGAAACCUGGCUCACAGGAUUCUUCUACAAGCCUUGCAACCACGAAUUGUUUGUGAAGCAAUCACUCAACAUGGAGAUGGCCAUUGUGAUGGCCCGGGAAUCUGGCAUGGAUUGGAUAAUAAUCCAUCUAGACACCAAUGAGUUGCUAUAUCCCGGUGGAGCUCCCGAGUAUUCCAUCAGACGCCUGCUAGCUGACGUCCCCGAUGAUGUUGACAUGGUUAUUUUUCCUAACUAUGUAAAGCGCCGAACCUAG
rnacentral:rRNA from 1 species